UACGUAGGGGGCAAGCGUUAUCCGGAUUUACUGGGUGUAAAGGGAGCGCAGGCGGUGAGGCAAGUCUGAUGUGAAAACCCGGGGCUCAACUCCGGGACUGCAUUGGAAACUGUCUUACUUGAGUACCGGAGAGGUAAGUGGAAUUCCUAGUGUAGCGGUGAAAUGCGUAGAUAUUAGGAGGAACACCAGUGGCGAAGGCGGCUUACUGGACGGUAACUGACGCUGAGGCUCGAAAGCGUGGGGAGCAAACA
rnacentral:rRNA from 1 species